rnacentral:rRNA from 1 species
GACGAACCGUGCGAACGUUGUUCGGAUUCACUGGGCUUAAAGGGCGCGUAGGCGGCUCGCCAAGUCGGGGGUGAAAUCUUUCGGCUCAACCGGAAAACAGCUUCCGAUACUGGCGGGCUUGAGGGAGGUAGGGGCGGACGGAACUUCCGGUGGAGCGGUGAAAUGCGUAGAUAUCGGAAGGAACGCCGGUGGCGAAAGCGGUCCGCUGGAUCUCUUCUGACGCUGAUGCGCGAAAGCCAGGGGAGCAAACGGG